rnacentral:rRNA from 1 species
CCUACGGGCGGCAGCAGUGAGGAAUAUUGGUCAAUGGACGAGAGUCUGAACCAGCCAAGUAGCGUGAAGGAUGACUGCCCUAUGGGUUGUAAACUUCUUUUAUACAGGAAUAAAACGAGGCACGUGUGCUUUUUUGUAUGUACUUUAUGAAUAAGGAUCGGCUAACUCCGUGCCAGCAGCCGCGGUAAUACGGAGGAUCCGAGCGUUAUCCGGAUUUAUUGGGUUUAAAGGGAGCGUAGGUGGGUUGUUAAGCCAGUUGUGAAAGUUUGCGGCUCAACCGUAAAAUUGCAAUUGAUACUGGCAGUCUUGAGUACAGUGGAGGUAGGCGGAAUUCGUGGUGUAGCGGUGAAAUGCUUAGAUAUCACGAAGAACUCCGAUUGCGAAGGCAGCAUACGGGCGCCCAACUGACGCUGAAGCACGAAAGCGUGGGUAUCGAACAGGAUUAGAUACCCGAGUAGUC